GCAGCCGCGGUAAUACGGGGGAUGCAAGCGUUAUCCGGAUUUAUUGGGUUUAAAGGGUGCGUAGGCGGUCUGGUAAGUCAGCGGUGAAAUUUCAGGGCUCAACCUUGAACGUGCCGUUGAUACUGUCAGACUAGAAUGCGGAUGCCGUGGGAGGAAUGUGUGGUGUAGCGGUGAAAUGCAUAGAUAUCACACAGAACACCGAUUGCGAAGGCAUCUCACGAAUCCGCAAUUGACGCUGAGGCACGAAAGCGUGGGGAUCAAACAGGAUUAGAUACCCC
rnacentral:rRNA from 1 species